ACUGAAACAAUAGUUUGUUGGUGAAUUGCUAGGGAUAAUAGAAGAUCCUGUCCUAUUUCCACCCCUUGAUCCCCAUACGCAUGAGUUCUGGCUAAGGAAGAAACAGAAAUAUAUGUUGGAUGCUGAUCUAGAGCAUACUUUGCAUCCUAAAAGUCCAUACAUGAGUCUCCAAAAGGACAUUCCACCAUUCUAUCAAGCCAGCUGCUUCAGGGUGACGGGGAACACGAGAAGGCUGAUGUCAACUUUUGUCUCGUAAUACACGAAUCUAUGAGUUUCUCUCAGAAAAUGGUUGUCUGCCAACACUAACUGGCCAGCUCUGACAGGAGGUGCGUGGCCCAGGAGGAGCCAUCAGGCCAGUUCUCUGGGAUACUGCUGUGUGUCCAGCUCUGCAGUUUGCUCUGCAUCACUCAGCGGCAGACAGAGAGGCAGACACAAGCCCCUUUUGAGACCUCCUCCUUACCGUCAUCUCACAAUGUUCUGAAAUAAGGAGGCAAAUGGCUGAGGUCCCCUCAGUUGUAGAUGUGAUUGAGUUCUAUCUACCAGAAGCAUAUGCCUCCUGGAAGCCUGGUUCUAACACCUCCCACAAAAUCCUUCAAGCACUUUUUUCUGCUCCAAGGUUUGCUUAUGGGGGACCUAGUGAAGUGCUUCAGAGCCCUAGAGAUUUGCUGAGUCAUAUGAGGGGUCAGCAAACUUUUCCUGUAAAGGGUCAGAUAAUAAACAUUUUAAGCUUUGUAGACUGUAUAAA
rnacentral:lncRNA from 1 species